UUUUCGAGAAUUCCGGACGGAUCUUCUCAACGAGCAGCUUGCGAUUCGGGACGCAUUUGCGCGCAAGAACAAGGUAUGGGAUCGCCAAUGCCAUGCAUCUUCUCUCUUUGUUUCUUCGGCAGCAUGAUAUUAGGAAGAAUCCAGCGUUCCGGGCUCUAUGUUUUUCCUCUACUUUUUUCUUCGGCGUCCAAAUUGUAGAGAUCUGCCUUGCAACUCGAUUUCACAAUGGAGGACUCAUUGUCUCAACGAGAUUUGGUCGAACUUCCCGAAUCCGGGGAGCCAAUCACGAGCGAUGAUUGUCUCAAGGCGAUUGACAAGUGUUUUCAUUCGAUUGUAGUCUCACUAAUUGAUCUCAACAAAGAAGAGACGAACUUCACGCGAGCCAAUCACUCAAGAUAUCGAAAAAAGGAAAAUAUUGGACAGAAAAGCACAUAUGUUUUCAUUCUGUUCGCCUUUUUUUUCAUUGAUUUGUUUCCAAAUUGAUAGGUUUGAUUUUGCAGACAUGGUCCCAUGACGGAUUAUAUAACAGUGUUUUCACCGUAGGCAAAAAGAAGCUCGUUCAACCGAGCUCAACAAAGACCACAGCCAGGUUUUAGAACUCCCAGAGGUCCAUGGAUUUGUUCUGGUUGAAGACGUAGAACGCGCUCUAUUGUGGCUCGAGUGAUCGAUGCUUUGGGAACAUGGGAUGCUCUCACUUGAACUUCUAGGAAAAUAAAAUACUGGUUUCCUCAAGUUCUAGCAAUGCGGGAGAAAUCUAAAAAGCUUUUCAAAAGUAACGAGCAUUCGCUUUA